rnacentral:rRNA from 1 species
GAUGAACGCUGGCGGCGUGCCUAAUACAUGCAAGUCGAGCGAACAGACGAGGAGCUUGCUCCUCUGACGUUAGCGGCGGACGGAUGAGUCACACGUGGUUAACAUACCUCUAAGACUGGGAUAACUUCGGGAAACCGGAGCUACUACCGAAUAAUUUAUUGAACCGCAUGGUUCCAUAGUGAAAGACGCUUUUGCUUUCACUUAUAGCUGGCUCCGCGCAGCAUUAGCUAGUUGGUAAGGUAACGGCUUACCAAGGCAGCGAUGCUUAGCCGACCUGAGAGCGUGAUCCGCCAGCUGGUAACUGAGAAACGGCACAGACACCUGCAGUGGGCAGCGGCAGGGAAUCCUCCGCGAUGGGGGAGUGCCUAACGUAGCAACGUCGGGGAAGGGAUGAAGGACUACUGAUCGGAAAACUCUGUUGUUAUUGAAGAUCAAAUGUUUAAGUAACUAUGCUCAUCUUGACGGUACCUAAUCAGAAAGCUACGGCUAACUACGUG